GCCAGCACCUACUGUGUUUUUUGAGAGAUGCCAAGGAGGGUCGUGUGAGUGUGGGGCUGGCAUCAGCCUGGGGAUUGGACCUUGUGGGGCUUCUCUCCUUCGGUAACUCUCAGGUAUAGCUGUGGUGAGGACUGUUUGCAUUCAGAGAAGCAAUAUUCAACAUUUGUUGUUUCAAUACCUGAAGUUGUGACCACUGAAAACUUGGAGGAGCUGCUUCAUUGAGCACGGAGCUCGUGACGAGAGGCCUGAAAGCAGGAAUUCAGAGCUCCUACUAACAAAUGGAAAAGAAACUUUGGAGUGUGGACCUAAGUAAUAGAAUCAUCAAAUCAUUUAGUUUGGAAAAGACCACUGAGAUCAUCUAGUCCAACCAUCAACCCAUCCCCACCAUGGCCACUAACCAUGUCCCUCAGUGCUACAUCUACACAUUCCUUGAACACCUCCAGGAAGUGACUUCACCACCUCCCUGGGCAGCCUGUGCCAAUGCAUCACCACUCCUGAGAAGAAAAUUUUCAUAAUAUCCAACCUGAACCUCCCCUGGCACAAUGGCUUGUAACCACACACCCCCUGGCAGUUCUCCAGGCAUGAUUAACUGCUGCAUUUACUCAUCUCUGUGGAUGAAAGAAGCCUACCCACACAAACUGCAGACCACUACGAAGUGCUAUUUAGCUAUUAGAAGGAUCUUCUACUUUGUUGAAAACUGAGCAACCAUACCAGCUGAGACCGGAGUCCCACCUCACUCCAUAUACUGUCUCAAACCUCUGGAAAUCACUAUGGAGAAAUGCAGACAAAGCUAUAUGCUUCAGGACAGAAAGGUCAAGUUCAGCCCGUCCACUUUCCAGCCAGAAGCGGCGGCUGCUUGGGAACACAAAGUAUAGGAAAACAGAAACUGCAUCUCUAGCUGAUUCCAUUUUAAACAUCACCUGUAAAAUAAAACUCAAACCAAGAGCACAAAGCCUGGUUUGUCCGAGAAAACGUGACAGUCCCACAGAAGAAAGCAGCCC
ensembl:lncRNA